UACAUUGAUCCAAGUAUUGUUUAAUUGUU
rnacentral:piRNA from 1 species